CAUUCUAAUCCAGGGGAAACCUUUGAAUGUAUCAUCUAAAGUGAACACCAGUACACGUGGUAUUCAGAUGGGAGAACUAAAUCUUGCAGCAUGGCUCCCAUCAGCCUUUCCCCAACUAGGUCAGCAGCACCAGGUGUUUGCUGUUGGCCAGGAACCUCCAGCCUUUAAUUGGACAUUGCACCAGCCCACCAGAGGCUUCCAAGGCAAAGUUCUCCUGGACCAGACCUCAAUCUCUGCACAAAGACCUUGGUCUGUGAUGUGGAACUUUGUCAGUCGCUGCGCGGGUGUGCGCGGGCUGCUCUGACAGCAGAGGUGCGGCGGGGACGCCGCAACACUCUGGGUUUGCUCGUGCAAAAGUUUCAAGGCACAGCUCGACUGGCGAAGCCUUCUCCAUCCGCCCGCAAACACGCGUUCUCUGGGGGUUAUUCCCUGGUAAUGCACAUCACCUGCCACUUGAUGCAACUUCUUCUGUCCCGGGAAUAUGACAUUUACUAGCAAAACAGCUCAGACAAAAUUGAUUUUUAGAAGGAAUGCUUUGGUCUUUGUAUUUGACUGUGUAUAGAAGAGAUGGUUGUGAUCUUGUUUUAAAUACACAACAGAACAUCAUCAACAACAACAACAGUUUGUUCUUGUGCCAGUUCAGGAGGCCACAUGUUAUUAGAUACCCAAAUCUAUUAAAACUGUAAGUUGAUUUUUAACAUUACCAGAUACACACAGUUUCCUGUAAUUAUUUUGUUUCAUAAUUCCUAUUUCACUUUCAUUUUAAUUUCAUUUGCGUUUCACUUAAUUUUAAUUUCAUAAUUCCUAUUUCAC